rnacentral:tRNA from 1 species
GCCCAGGUAGCUCAGUUUGGGAGAGCGCUGCCCUGAAGAGGCAGUCGUCCCCGGUUCGAGUCCGGGUCUGGGCA